UACGUAGGUGGCAAGCGUUGUCCGGAUUUAUUGGGUUUAAAGGGUGCGUAGGCGGCUUUGUAAGUCAGUGGUGAAAUAUGGCAGCUCAACUGUCAGGGUGCCGUUGAUACUGCAGAGCUUGAGUACAGAUGAGGUAGGCGGAAUUGACGGUGUAGCGGUGAAAUGCUUAGAUAUCGUCAAGAACACCGAUAGCGAAGGCAGCUUACUGGGCUGUAACUGACGCUGAGGCACGAAAGUGUGGGGAUCAAACAGG
rnacentral:rRNA from 1 species